rnacentral:lncRNA from 1 species
GGGCGGGGCCAGUGGAGGGGCGGAUCCCUCCAACCUGACGGCCAAACGUUUCCUAGACGUUGUCGUUACUGAUAAGAAACUACAUUUCCCAGAAUGCAGUGAGGGUAGCGACCGGGCUACACAGUAGAAACAGGGUUUCACCAUGUUGGCCAUGCUGGUCUCGAACUCCAGAACUCAAGUGAUCCGUCCGCCUCGGUCUUCCAAACUGCUGGGAUUACAGGCGUGAGCCACCGCGCCCAGCCUUUGGGGAAGUUCUUUUUACCGUCCAUCAUCCAUUGCCACCACACCUUCUGCUUACGAGUUAUUUAUAAUAAGUUUAACUAAAAGAGAACGAGAGAACAUCCCCUGAAACCCAAAGUUUGUCAUUCUAUACAGCUUUCCUGCCUGCAAAAGAGGAGGAGCAGACUCAUCCAGCAAAUCACCUAAAAAGUUUGAAGAUCAAAAAGCCUAGCUCCAGUUUCAGAUCCUUCCCCUACCUUUCUGAACACUAGUUUCUUCCUCUGAAAAACGAAAGAGGGAACGGGACCGUAGAGUGGAGUGGGCACAAGAAUCGCAAGUCCCUUCUGGCUAUGACGCUGCAAGACUCUAGGUACAGUUUAGGACUCCGGGCAUUCAGAUCCCCGGGACUUGUCAAGUUCUCCUCAUUGACAUUUUUGAUAUUUCGUGACAACACAAAUUCAUCACAUUUUUGUGCUGUGUGUUAUAUGUGGGAAGGAGAUUUUAAAAAGAUUGCCUUUUGAAGUUAUUGGAUAGCUGUGUUACAGAAGAAAACAUUGCCUUCAAGAAGUUAUUGGAUAGAUAUGUUACAGAAGAAAAGACGUUUGUUUCAUUUUUGACUUUGCAGGAAAAGAAUAUGUAACACAUCAGAAUUCUUCUCUCCUCCCUGGCCUUAGUCGAGUACCUGAGGGGCAUUAAAGCACUUCCUCCUUGCAAUCACUUACCCAGCAUAGUCCUUAAUACAGAUAUCUUCAUUGUUGAAUGAAUGAAUGAAUGUUCAUUAUGUUUGAUUACCUUAGGUUUACUUUCCAAAAGUGUCUUACUUGAGGAAGACCACAUCUACACAAAAAAAUCAAACUUUAAAACAGAGUAAGAGACCAUUCACACUACAAAUAGAUUCUCGGUUUAUAAAAGAUGUGUUAUAGUGCUCCCAUAAAUAGUGAGGCACUCUUCUGUAUCAGAUGGCACAAAUUUGAUUACAUAUAACUACUAAGUGCUUUUCCGUGGUCUGUGGUUCAUAGUGUGGGUGCCUGUGGUAUGCUAAGGUCUCUAUUUUACUGACAGCCACAGUUAAAAUAUAUUUCUUAAAACCAAAUAAACAGUCCACCAUCACCAGCCAAAUGCUAGGAGAGUGCUGACUGCUAUUUUAGCUGCUUUCUUCUAGGCAGAAUGAAAAGAAAAACAUAAGUUAACUUUAAAAGGGGAAAUAUGAUCCAUGUCAAGCUCAAUUCUGUCCAAUCAAAGCACAGAAUAUUGCUGUUGUUCCAAAAA